UGUUAAAUAUGUUAUCUAUUUUUUUAAGUUCAAACAAUUUAUAAAACAACUAUAGAUAAAAUAAAUGUUGUGUUGUUUUUCUUGGGCCAUUGAUUAGUUAUAAUCUAAAGGCUAAAACUCAUUAUCUUGGUGCUCCUUUCUUAUUGGUUGAUUCUUUGAAAUCACGGAUCACUAUUUUUGGCCAUUGGAUUACAUAAAUCAAUGGCUAAGAAUCAAUGUAUUCUUUCUCAUCUAUCUUACUUUGUACGCUUUUCUCUCUAUCUCACUUCAUCUAAAACAAAAUACAUCUUUCUUUUCUCUCUGCACAUCGCGUUCAUCCAUGGCGUAAGGUCCACCAUCUCUCCCAUUCGCCACCGUCUUCUCUCACCACCACCAGUCACCUGCAAAUCACAUUCGUGACUUCACCGAACCGGGGCGUCCAAGAUCAGCCAAGCUCUGUCAAGAGAAUCCUCAGAGAUUUCGCAACCACAGGAUAGUCCCGCGGCCUCAAAUCACCAGAAAUCGAAAGGACGUCGGUUCCCGAAACCCUAACCUCUGUAUCUCGCUUUGCAGAGUCGCCGCUCAAAGUCCGAGGAAGAACACGCCUUCCACAGCUCCGGUCCACCCGACGCACGGAGACUGUUAGUUUUCACUGAAUCUUGUCUGCUCCGUCAGGUUGAGCGUAUUCCGAGAAGCAAGGGGGGGGGGACAUCUACGCAGUGUGGUCAUUGGGUUUGCGGCUACGAGGUGAUGGAGAAGAGAUAAGAGGUGGUGGUCAUGGGGCUUGCGGCGACGAGGCGACAGAGAAGCUGGUGAGGAGGCAGG
rnacentral:lncRNA from 1 species